rnacentral:lncRNA from 1 species
GUUCUUUCACUUACAACCAGAGGCAGCUCUCUACUUAGGCGAUUUAGUUGGUCGCCUAAAGCCUCGCGCUGAUGGGGGCCUCGCAAGAUUUACCACGUGGUCUGCAGCUCACUCCUAGCGAAGCUGCAGACCAGAGAGCUGGACCACUGAGGAGAGAGGGCACCCACAGGACCACCAGGGAAGGUAUUUAUGACUGUGCCACACUCACCGCAAACCCUGUCACACUCUCCCCCCAACCCUGCCACACUCACCUUUCCACAUUAAUCUAAUCCUGCCCCAUUAACCCCCUUAAUCUUGUCACACUCACCUCCCCUCAUUCUGUUACACUGCCUCCUCCAAACAUGGCACAUUCACCCCAACCCUGUGAUACACCUCCCAACUAUGACACAUGCAGCCUGUCACAUUAACUUCCUUCAAUCCUGUCACACUUACUUCCCCAUGCCCUGUCACACUCCCUCCUCCAACCAUGUCACAAUUGCCCACCUACUAUUCUCACCCUCCCUCAUUCUGUUACACUCACCCCCCCAACCCUGUCUCAUAUACCACCUUACCCUGUCACACUCACCCUGCCACAGUAACCCCUUUACUCACCUUGUCACAGUCACAAACUGAAGACAUUCAUUAUACACACAUGCACAAAGGUCACAGACAGCCCCCAUAAACACCACACAACGCAAGCAGCUACCCCACACACAUACGGUCCCAGAUACAUGCUCACAAAGACAUACAUUCACACCCAAGGAUACUCUCUGUUAUGGACCGCCUGGCACCCCGACUGGGUAUCUCCGCCAAUCGAUGCUUCCUAGCUGACACUGAGGACCAUAAGCACUGCACCAUACACCAUAAGCACCGUAGACCCCAAGAAACGCUGCAGCUUGGUUGGGGUCUCACCAUCUGUAAUAUGUUAUAUCAUUAGCAUAAUUGCUAAUUAAAUGUGUUUAUUGCAAAUUAAUUUAGUUUGCAAAUUAUGCCAUAACUAGAGUCGGAGAGCUCACAACACAGCGGCACAGGGAGCCACGACACUGCAAGACUCUGAACAAUGAAUACAGAGACUAGCUCUCUUAUCCAUCAUUGCAAGCUUGUCCGUAAAUACAACUACAGCAUCUUAUACACACAAUGCAACCCUGAUUUUUUUUUUCCACUUUGGGUGUUAGUGGUGGCCUCACAAAGUCUAGAACCGCGACUGCAUACAACCAGGGCCGGAUUAACAUAGGGGCUGAUGGAGCUGCAGCUCCAGGCCCAGGCCCAUGGAAUAGGCCCAUUGAUUUAAAAAAAAUAUAUAUAUUUUUUUUACUUUUUUUUUUAUUUUUAUUUUUUUACACACUACUGUUAGGGAUUCCACCUGGCUUUUAUUUUAUUGGCACAGCCAGUAUUUGAGGCUGCCUGGCUGGUGCCAAUAUUGCAGCGAUACUGGCAAUACAAAUGCUGGUAUUUUUCUCAGUAUAAACAAGAGAUUACUCUGCAAUACCAGCACUGGCCAGUAGGGGUCACCGUGUAUGGAGAGAGGCAGGGAUAGGAAGUUCCAGCAUAUCCCUCCCUGCCUAUCUAUACUCACUGAUCUGCAGGGGUGCAGCUACAGAGAGUCCAGACAGCAACUCCCACCCUGCAGAGACAGCCUACAGCUCAGGGAAGUAAGGGAUGGGGGAAAGGCUGCAAGGAGACAUACACUGAGACACUAAGGGACAUUGGGAGACAGUAUGGCAGACACCGAGACACUAAGGGACAUUGGGAGACAUUAUGGCAGACACUGAGACACUAAGGGACAUUGGGAGACAUUAUGGCAGACACUGAGACACUAAGGGACAUUGGGAGACAUUAUGGCAGACACUGAGACACUAAGGGACAUUGGGAGACAUUAUGGCAGAUACUGAGACACUAAGGGACAUUGGGAGACAUUAUGGCAGACACUGAGACACUAAGGGACACUGGGAGACAUUAUGGCAGACACUGAGACACUAAGGGACACUUGGAGACAUUAUGGCAGACACUGAGACACUAAGGGACAUUGGGAGACAUUAUGGCAGACACUGAGACACUAAGGGACAUUGGGAGACAUUAUGGCAGACACUGAGACACUAAGGGACAUUGGGAGACAUUAUGGCAGACACUGAGACACUAAGGGACAUUGGGAGACAUUAUGGCAGACACUGAGACACUAAGGGACAUUGGGAGACAUUAUGGCAGACACUGAGACACUAAGGGACAUUGGGAGACAUGGCAGAUACUGAGACAGACACAUUAUUGCAGACAUUAAGGGACAUUGGGAGACAUUAUGGCAGACACUGAGACACUAAGGGACACUGGGAGACAUUAUGGCAGACACUGAGAAUCUAAGGGACACUGGGAGACAUUAUGGCAGACACUGAGACACCAAGGGGCACUGGGAGACAUUAUGGCAGACAAUGAGACACUAAGGGACAUUGGGAGAUAUUAUUGCACACAAUGAGACACUAAGGGACACUGGGAGACAUUAUGGCAGACACUGAGACACUAAGGGGCACUGGGAGACAUUAUGGCAGACACUGAGACACUAAGGGGCACUGGGAGACAUUAUGGCAGACACUGAGACACUAAGGGGCACUGGGAGACAUUAUGGCAGACGCCGAGACACUAAGGGGCACUGGGAGAUAUUAUGGCAGACACUGAGACACUAAGGGACAUUGGGAGACAUUAUGGCAGACACUGAGACACUAAGGGACAUUGGGAGACAUUAUGGCAGACACUGAGACACUAAGGGACACUGGGAGACAUUAUGGCAGACACUGAGACACUAAGGGACACUAGGAGACAUUAUGGCAGACACUGAGACACUAAGGGACAUUGGGAGACAUGGCAGACACUGUGACACUAAGGGGCACUGGGAGACAUUAUGGCAGACAUUGAGACACUAAGGGACACUGGGAGACAUUAUGGCAGACACUGAGACACUAAGGGGCAUUGAGAGACAUUAUGGCAGACACUGAGACACUAAGGGGCAUUCAUUGGGAGACAUUAUGGCAGACACUGAGACACUAAGGGACAUUGGGAGACAUUAUGGCAGACACUGAGACACUAAGGGGCACUGGGAGACAUUAUGGCAGACACUGAGACACUAAGGGGUACUGGGAGACAUUAUGGCAGACACCGAGACACUAAGGGGCACUGGGAGAUAUUAUGGCAGACACUGAGACACUAAGGGGCAUUGGGAGAUAUUAUGACACAGACGCAUGGGGACACAGUGUCUCCCAGCCAGUAUCCCUGGUGUCUCAGUGCCCCCUUGUCUCCCAGUGACCCCUAGUCUCCCAGUCUGCCAGUGUCUCAAUGUCUCCUAGUGCCUCCAUGUCUCUCAUUGCCUAAAGUGUCACAAUGUCCCCAUGUCUCCAAGCUAGUGUCUCUAGUGUCUGUGGCCCUGGUGUCUGUGUCCCCAUGUCUUCAAGUGUCCCCUAUUUUCCCAUUGUCCCCAUGUGUCCCAGCCAGAGUCCCCUAGUCUCCCAGUGUCACUUGUGUCUCCGUGUCCCUAGGUCUUCCCAUGUCCCCAGGUCUCCCAGUCUUCCUAGUGUCCUAGUGACAUGGAGACCCUGGGAUACAUGGGGACACAGGGAGACAUGGGGCAUUGAGACACUGUGAUACAUAGGAUCACUGGGAGACCUGGGGACACGACACUAGGGGACACUGGGAGACAUGGGGGCACUGGGAGGAAUCCAUCUAUACAGCAGAAUCAAACUAAUAGUUUUUUGGGUGAUUUUACAGCAUUUUCUCUUAUGUCACUCCUUUUUUUUCCAAGAAAGGUGGCAACCCUAACUACUUUUCACAUACUCUUACUUAAGUAUGGAAAGGUGGGAUGUAUGGGAACAAAACUUGUGUGGACUGGCUGACAAUGAAUAUAGUUAAAGGGACACUAUAGUCACCAGAACAACUACAGCUUAUUGAAUUUGUUUUGGUGAGUAGAAUCAUUACCAUCAGGCUUUUUGCUGUAAGCACGGUCUUUUCAGAGAAAAUGCUGUGUUUACAUUACAUCCUAGUGAUAACUUCACUGGCCACUUAUAAGAUGACUGUUAGAGAUCCUUCCUGGGUCAUGGCUGCCUAAAAUGCAUCCAAACAUUCAGUGUCUCCUCCCUCUGCAUGCAGACACUGAACUUUCCUCAUAGAGAUUAAUUAAAUUCAUCUAUAUAAGGAGAUGCUGAUUGGCCAGGGCUGUGCUUGAAUCAUGCUGGCUCUGACCCUGAUCUGCCUCUUUGUCAGUCUCAGCCAAUCCUAUGGGGAAGCACUGUGAUUGGAUCAGGCCACCACUUCUAAUGAUGUCAGCAGACUGCUUGUUUUUAUGAGUCUAACAGCAUGCCGAGUUACAGCUUCAGGCUUGAAUAUAGAUUUUGCUAUAUUUAUGGAGGCAUGAGGGGUCCAGGGGGUGCUAGAUGGUGGUGUUAAUACUAUAGGGUCAUGAAUUCAUGUUUGUGUUCCUGGUCCUAUAGUGAUCCUUUAAGGUAAUGCUGACUUUGGUCUCUAACACUGUGGCAUGUUCCCUUUCUUCUACACUCAUUACAUACAGCUUUACUCUGUCCCAGACCAUAUACCAGGAUCUUCUGCCUGCUAGUAAGAAGGUAAGGAGACAAGUGGACCAGUGAGUGCUAGGGGACAGUCCUUAGAAAGCGUUGAGUGAGCGCAUCAUUAGAUGCAUUUAUGCCAAGCUCAGGGUGCUGUCUGCAUAGUAUGCCCUUAGUUGGCCAGCUGCAUGAUUGGCAGGCAGCCUGACAUGCAUUCAUGCCAGGCUGGCCUUUUAAUUCUUUGAGCAGACAUGUCCUCUUUUUGGGCAUGUUCACCCCUUUUAGCAGGUUACGUGAUUUGUGUCAGUGACACACCCUUUUACCAUGCCCAUUGACUUCCUGCCUGACUAGACACUGCUGUUAGGGGUUAUGGAUUUACUUGAAAGAUGAAAACAUAAAUUAGAGAGAGAUUAGCCUUUUCUUAUAGCUGCUGUUUUCUUUCUCUCCAGCACCAUCUCCAUCACAUACAUGAUGCUUGGGAGUGUUUUACUGUUUUUGGUCGAUAUGAUUCUGUAAUUAGGCCCGUCAUAAUUGUCAGCACCAGGCCCACGCGGCUCUUAAUCUGGCCCUGCAUACAACCUACUGCGAACCCACAGUCCAAAGAACCCCCGGAGUUCAGGGAGUUGUAUGGACCGAACGAUCUACUAUCACGAAGUAGAAUGUUGUCCGAAGAGCCUAUAAACAGUUUAUGAAGUUUGUUGCAGACUUUAAUAUAAUAAAUGUUUUCUCCUUAGAAUCGAUUGUCACUUUUACAACUUUUUGCCAUAUUUCACUGAAACUGGCCUACAAUACNNNNNNNNNNNNNNNNNNNNNNNNNNNNNNNNNNNNNNNNNNNNNNNNNNNNNNNNNNNNNNNNNNNNNNNNNNNNNNNNNNNNNNNNNNNNNNNNNNNNGAACAAACUGUAUUUAACAGGUAUCCAAUACAUCAAAUUAAAGCCCUUUCUGUCCUUUAAAGAACAGUAUAUAAUAUGUGUCAGUGCAAUAAACGAGAGAGAUGCAAAUUGCAGUUGAACGCAAACAGCAAGAAAAUGUAAAAAUUGCUUGUGUCAUUAAGAGUAAGACAAGCUUCUGAAGCUGUGUCCUUAAGGGGUUAAAAAUAUGGGCAGAUGGAAAUCUUUAGCAUACAGUAGGUAUAUCCGUAACCCUGAGAGAGAAGUUAGAACUGCUUGUCAUAACACAGCACUGUAAUGAAAAUUGUAUCUGCUGUUUAAUAAAGUUGCAUUCUUAAACUUUUGCUCUCUUUAUUACAGGCCUGACCACUCGUUGGUUUCAGCACACCACAACCG